rnacentral:rRNA from 1 species
GGAUGAACGCUGGCGGCGUGCCUAAUACAUGCAAGUCGAGCGAACGGACGAGAAGCUUGCUUCUCUGAUGUUAGCGGCGGACGGGUGAGUAACACGUGGAUAACCUACCUAUAAGACUGGGAUAACUUCGGGAAACCGGAGCUAAUACCGGAUAAUAUUUUGAACCGCAUGGUUCAAAAGUGAAAGACGGUCUUGCUGUCACUUAUAGAUGGAUCCGCGCUGCAUUAGCUAGUUGGUAAGGUAACGGCUUACCAAGGCAACGAUGCAUGGCCGACCUGAGAGGGUGAUCGGCCACACUGGAACUGAGACACGGUCCAGACUCCUACGGGAGGCAGCAGUAGGGAAUCUUCCGCAAUGGGCGAAAGCCUGACGGAGCAACGCCGCGUGAGUGAUGAAGGUCUUCGGAUCGUAAAACUCUGUUAUUAGGGAAGAACAUAUGUGUAAGUAACUGUGCACAUCUUGACGGUACCUAAUCAGAAAGCCACGGCUAACUACGUG